GCCUACGGGGGGCAGCAGUGAGGAAUAUUGGUCAAUGGCCGAGAGGCUGAACCAGCCAAGCCGCGUGAGGGAAGACGGCCCUACGGGUUGUAAACCUCUUUUGUCGGGGAGCAAAGCGAGUCACGUGUGACUCAUUGAGAGUACCCGAAGAAAAAGCAUCGGCUAACUCCGUGCCAGCAGCCGCGGUAAUACGGAGGAUGCGAGCGUUAUCCGGAUUUAUUGGGUUUAAAGGGUGCGCAGGCGGAGGUGCAAGUCAGCGGUCAAAUUGCGGGGCUCAACCCCGUACCGCCGUUGAAACUGCAUCC
rnacentral:rRNA from 1 species